UACGGGGGGGGCAAGCGUUGUUCGGAAUUACUGGGCGUAAAGGGCUCGUAGGCGGCCAACUAAGUCGAACGUGAAAUCCCUGGGCUCAACCCAGGAACUGCGUCCGAUACUGGAAGGCUUGAAUCCGGGAGAGGGAUGCGGAAUUCCAGGUGUAGCGGUGAAAUGCGUAGAUAUCUGGAGGAACACCGGUGGCGAAGGCGGCAUCCUGGACCGGUAUUGACGCUGAGGCGCGAAAGCCAGGGGAGCAAACGGG
rnacentral:rRNA from 1 species